rnacentral:tRNA from 10 species
AGAGAGGUGGCCGAGUGGUCGAAGGCGCACGCCUGGAAAGUGUGUAUACGCCAAAAGCGUAUCGAGGGUUCGAAUCCCUUCCUCUCUGCUA